UGGGGAAUCUUGGACAAUGGGCGCAAGCCUGAUCCAGCCAUGCCGCGUGGAUGAUGAAGGCCUUAGGGUUGUAAAAUCCUUUCGUGGGGGACGAUAAUGACGGUACCCCAAGAAGAAGCUCCGGCUAACUUCGUGCCAGCAGCCGCGGUAAUACGAAGGGGGCUAGCGUUGUUCGGAUUUACUGGGCGUAAAGCGCGUGUAGGCGGGUCGUUAAGUUGGGGGUGAAAUCCCGAGGCUCAACCUCGGAACUGCCUUCAAAACUGGCGACCUGGACUCAAGCAGAGGCAAGUGGAAUUGCGAGUGUAGAGGUGAAAUUCGUAGAUAUUCGCAGGAACACCAGUGGCGAAGGCGACUUGCUGGGCUUGUAGUGACGCUGAGACGCGAAAGCGUGGGGAGCAAACAGGAUUAGAUACCCUCGUAGUCCCUGAGCGGGCUGGCAAGGCGCAU
rnacentral:rRNA from 1 species